GUAGUUUGAUCGUGGCUCAGGAUGAACGUUAGCGGCGUGCCUAACACAGGCAAGUCGAACGAACAGCCAGAAUCUUAGGAAUCUGGCGGGUUAGUGGCGCACGGGUGAGUAACACGUAGGUGACCUGCCCCGAAGUGGGGGACAACCACUGGAAACAGUGGCUAAUACCGCAUGUGCUUAGCCAUUCGGUUGGUUAAGUAAAGCUGAGGCGCUUCGGGAGGGGCCUGCGGUCGAUUAGCUAGUUGGUGAGGUAAUGGCUCACCAAGGCGAUGAUCGAUAGGGGGCGUGAGAGCGUGACCCCCCACACUGGGACUGAGACACGGCCCAGACUCCUACGGGAGGCAGCAGUGAGGAAUAUUGCACAAUGGGCGCAAGCCUGAUGCAGCAACGCCGCGUGGGGGAUGAAGGCCUUCGGGUUGUAAACCCUUUCUGUGGGAAGAGAAGGACGGUACCACAGGAAUAAGUCUCGGCUAACUACGUGCCAGCAGCCGCCGCGGUAAU
rnacentral:rRNA from 1 species